rnacentral:rRNA from 1 species
AACGAACGCUGGCGGCAGGCUUAACACAUGCAAGUCGAGCGCCCCGCAAGGGGAGCGGCAGACGGGUGAGUAACACGUGGGGAUCUGCCCGAUGGUACGGAAUAGCUCCGGGAAACUGGAAUUAAUACCGUAUGUGCCCGCAAGGGGAAAGAUUUAUCGCCAUCGGAUGAACCCGCGUCGGAUUAGCUAGUUGGUGUGGUAAAGGCGCACCAAGGCGACGAUCCGUAGCUGGUCUGAGAGGAUGAUCAGCCACACUGGGACUGAGACACGGCCCAGACUCCUACGGGAGGCAGCAGUGGGGAAUAUUGGACAAUGGGCGCAAGCCUGAUCCAGCCAUGCCGCGUGAGUGAUGAAGGCCUUAGGGUUGUAAAGCUCUUUCGCCGACGAAGAUAAUGACGGUAGUCGGAGAAGAAGCCCCGGCUAACUUCGUGCCAGCCGCCGCCGUAAAAC